rnacentral:lncRNA from 1 species
UACAAACUCCAUGCUUGCGGAUCCGCUCACUAAGGGAUUGACACCAAAAGUAUUUCAUGAGCAUAUUGCUUGUAUGGGUGUCAAAUCAAAUAAGGAUAAUGUAUUUUAGUGGGAGUUUGUAUUGUACAUUUAUGUAUUGUGUAUUAUAUUCAGAAAUUCAGUAAUUCAGUUAUAUCUGCGCAGAUAUUCAGUUUUAAAGUUUUUNN